GCAGCCGCGGUAAUACGGAAGAUGCGAGCGUUAUCCGGAUUUAUUGGGUUUAAAGGGAGCGUAGGCGGGCUGUUAAGUCAGCGGUAAAAUUUCCGGGCCCAACCCGGUCCUGCCGUUGAAACUGGCGGUCUUGAAUGCACACAAGGGAGAUGGAAUUCGUCGUGUAGCGGUGAAAUGCUUAGAUAUGACGAAGAACUCCGAUUGCGAAGGCAGUCUCCUGGGGUGCUAUUGACGCUGAGGCUCGAAAGUGCGGGUAUCAAACAGGAUUAGAUACCCC
rnacentral:rRNA from 1 species